AUAGGAAGAUAAAAGGCAUCUUUUAUCUUUUUAAAGACCUAGUAUAGGUAUGCUUUAGGAGGGGCUUGCGCCAUAUUAGUUAGUUGGUAGGGUAAUGGCCUACCAAGACGAUGAUGUGUAGCUGGACUGAGAGGUUGAACAGCCACAUUGGGACUGAGACACGGCCCAAACUCCUACGGGAGGCAGCAGUAGGGAAUUUUCGGCAAUGGAGGAAACUCUGACCGAGCAACGCCGCGUGAAUGACGAAGUACUUCGGUAUGUAAAGUUCUUUUAUCAAGGAAGAAAAGCAAAUGGCGAACCAUUUGUUUGCCGGUACUUGAUGAAUAAGCCCCGGCUAAUUAUGUGCCAGCAGCCGCGGUAAGACAUAAGGGGCAAGUGUUAUCCGGAAUUAUUGGGCGUAAAGGGUGCGUAGGCGGUCUAGUAAGUCAGUGGUGUAAUGGCAACGCUUAACGUUGUCCGGCUAUUGAAACUGCUAAACUUGAGUUAGAUAGAGGCGAGUGGAAUUCCAUGUGUAGCGGUAAAAUGCGUAAAUAUAUGGAGGAACACCAGAGGCGUAGGCGGCUCGCUGGGUCUUAACUGACGCUGAGGCACGAAAGCGUGGGGAGCAAACAGGAUUAGAUACCCUGGUAGUCCACGCCGUAAACGAUGAGUACUAAGUGUCGGGUUAAACCGGUACUGAAGUUAACACAUUAAGUACUCCGCCUGAGUAGUACGUACGCAAGUAUGAAACUUAAAGGAAUUGACGGGACUCCGCACAAGCGGUGGAUCAUGUUGUUUAAUUCGAAGAUACCCGAAAAACCUUACCAGGUCUUGACAUGUUUUUGCAAAAUGAUAGUAAUAUCGUGGAGGUUACCAGAAACACAGGUGGUGCAUGGUUGUCGUCAGCUCGUGUCGUGAGAUGUUAGGUUAAGUCCUAAAACGAGCGAAACCCUUAUCGUUAGUUGCCAGCACGUUAUGGUGGGGACUUUAACGAGACUGCCAAUGAUAAAUUGGAGGAAGGUGAGGAUCACGUCAAAUCAGCAUGCCCCUUAUGACCUGGGCUACAAACGUGAUACAAUGGCUGUUACAAAGGGUAGCUGAAACGCAAGUUCUUGGCCAAUCCCCAAAAACAGUCCCAGUCCGGAUUGAAGUCUGCAACUCGACUUCAUGAAGUUGGAAUCGCUAGUAAUCGCGAAUCAGCAUGUCGCGGUGAAUACGUUCU
rnacentral:rRNA from 1 species